CCUACGGGUGGCAGCAGUGAGGAAUAUUGGUCAAUGGACGCAAGUCUGAACCAGCCAUGCCGCGUGCAGGAAGACGGCUCUAUGAGUUGUAAACUGCUUUUGUACGAGGGUAAACGCAGAUACGCGUAUCUGUCUGAAAGUAUCGUACGAAUAAGGAUCGGCUAACUCCGUGCCAGCAGCCGCGGUAAUACGGAGGAUUCAAGCGUUAUCCGGAUUUAUUGGGUUUAAAGGGUGCGUAGGCGGUCGGAUAAGUUAGAGGUGAAAUCCCGAGGCUCAACGUCGGAAUUGCCUCUGAUAUGGUGCGGAUAGAGAGUGGUUGCGGGAGUAGGAAUGUAUGGUGGAGAGGAGAAAGGCAUAGUGAGCAUACAGAACGCAGAGUGAGAAGGGAGCUUACAAAGGUACUUCGGACGUUGAGGCAAGAAAGCGUGGGGAGAGAACAGGAGUAGAUACCCGUGGAGUC
rnacentral:rRNA from 1 species